GACGGUUAAUACGCAACCUAUGGUUUCAUCUGCCAGUCUUCAAGCAGAAGACCACGCUUCCCCCUCCAACACCAUUUUCAAGUUUUAUAGCUUAGUGUAACCAUUUUAAUUGUUCUUUUUCUGCAAGGCAUGAAGAUAAACCAUGCAUGAAUCAAUACAUGAAUGAAUCAGCCUCUGGUCUAGCUCACUGAUGUACUCAUCAUUUAUAUCCUUGCAUAAUUUACAGAAAUUGAAAGUGUAGUGAGGCUUUGCAUUCAGCUGAAUGUGGUUUGUUUACACAGUCCAAUAGAGUUUCACGUUCCAGAAAAGCUGAUUCUGCAGGGAUUGCUCAAGCAGGAUAAAAACAUCUAAAGCUUUGUGCUAAAAUAGAUGCAGUUAAGUGCCUAGGUGUCCCAUCACUUUUAGCCAAAUCUUAAUGAGAACACUGACAUCUUGGCUUUGUUGUGCAUGGUUUCACUUAAUUCAGAGGUAGCUGGGGCUCCCUGCACAAAAUUCAGUAGGCUGGAGUAUUAGCCUUUGGCUGAAAGAAAGACUAAGAUUCAUCUCAGUGAACUGCAGCUGCUUGAAAGUUAGGCAUCUAAACUAAUUUACUCGUCCAGGUUCCUGCAGUGACUGAGACACCUCCCCCACCUGGCUGUUCCUCUCAUAACCAGGAUUCACCUCCAGAGAUUACCACCUCUUGGAUGCCAUUCUCAAUUCUUCAUUUCCACUAACCUUAACAGGAUGUGAGACCACAAAAAGCAAGACACAUUAACUAUUCCCAGCACUUCUAGAAAAAUACCCUUACUAUCAGCAUGUUUCCUUCUGUUUUCUGUACCCACUUUGGCCAUACAUCACAGGAAUUAGGACUAAUGGGAAGAAAAUCCCUGCCAGGUUUCCUCAGAGCUCUUCUCCUUUGGCAAUGGUGUUUUUCCCCCAUUCUCUCCACUUUCACACAAACACACCCCACCAUUCCCCAGCCAACAAUGGAGACCGGGGGAUGAGGGGGGAGGGCAAACCCUGCAGACUGUCUGCCUCCACAGACUGUUAUUUUGGAUUUCAUUGACCUUUGAUAGGGCAACUCUUUUUCGGAUCGCUCUCUUGGUUGUAUUCUCCAGGGGAUAUGGCUUUUUACAUUACAAAUUUUGAAAGAUUCUAGGGAAGAAUUUCUGUCUCUCAAAAGCCCUAUAUCUGUUUGAAGUGUUUGGGUUUAUCAGUGACAAUUACAAAACAGAAGCAGUCUGUAUGUGAGGAAAGAUUUCUGUUUGUUGUUUGUAAGCUAUUUUCACUUUGGCUGUAGCUGUCAAGGGGGAUUUCACAGCCAUCCACAUUAUGUCUCACCCCUGUAGCUGAUAUCAGAGCAACCUUAGCUGCUUGAGUAGAAAAAAGAAUCAAGGAGACACAUUAUCUUUUAAAGAAAAGGAACAAAAAAUACUUUUGCAGAACCAACCUAGAGCUCUGCAUCAAAUACCAUCUGUGUUUAAAAAGAAACACAGGGUUGUGAUGUUAAUGAAUUAUUGUUAUUUCCUAGAGGCACAGAUGAAGUGUUUGGUUUUGUGCAAAUCAGAAGUCUCAAACCAGCCCUGUCCCAUUAGCACGGCACAUCAAACACCACAAGCUGAUUUUUGGUUUUUUGGUUCAGCUGAAGGCUGAGGAUUUACACCACUAACAACAGCCACGCAUAUGGUCACAUACAGUCAGGAAAUGAACAACUCUGCAUGAACCGAAGAGAGCGAGGGUGCAAUAAAAACAUAUCCUGCAAAGGGAUCUGUGACGGGAAAUGGGAGGAGAGCUCAGCUUGCAAGAGAAGAACAAAGCCUGUCUCUCUCCAGACUCCACUCUUCAGCAACAUACCACUCAGGAAAGGCCCUGAAAUCCAAAACAUCACUGAGGAGAUGUUUCAGUCUGUGUGAAGGUCAACACCCAGGGUACUGAGAGGGCACCAAGAGGUGCAUCGUGACAAAGAGGCCUGUCCCCCUGCAGAGCCUGGGCCUGGGCUUCAGAAGAUGCUGAUGAAGGCACUGGGUUUGUCCCAUCAUCCAAACACUUACAAUGAGGUGGUAUAUUGCUCCUCAGACAUGGAUGAGAUGCAUACUUCCAUCUGAGAAAUCAAGUCAGAACAGAAUAAGAUGCUUGAAGACUCCUGACAGGAAAAGACAAAAGAAGAUUAGAAACCUUGCACGCAGCAGCAAAAACAGACUGUGAAUAUUGAAAGCAGGAUCCUGGAUUUUAAAUACAAGCUCAAUUUUCAUGUUUGGAUUUAACCUCUGCAUGUGAGCACAUCUGCCAGAUGAUCCAACCCACUGAUGCUACCUGCCCUCCUAAGUUGAUCUCCCUGGCUGAAGGGUCAGGAGGAGUACUGCCAACCUGGACAGGGUUUCUCAUCUUGAAGCAGAAGAUAGGAAGAGUACAUUCAAGUUAUGAAAUGCAGCAUCAGGGAGAAGAACAGUGCUGGGCCAAAAACCUUGCUUUGCCCCACCACUCAGCAUCGUGCUGCAGCAGGGAGAGGGCAGCAGUCCCUCUGGUACCCCUAUUCUCCAUGCAAAGAGCAGCAGACGGCGGUGAUCAGAUCCAGCCUUGCUGACCUUGCACCAACAUGGAUAUGGAGCAGCCACAUGGUGAGAGCACUGGAAAAGAAGCUUAAAAUCUGCUCCAACUGUUUCCCAGCAGGUGUUUACUUCCUCCCAGCUGACAAGCGUGACUUGCUGUACAAACACACACACCCCUUUGCGGACAAAGUCAAACAAGCAAACCUUUGGCAGCAAUUUAAGUUUGUGUGACAUUGCUCUUAGAUACUUUAAGAGCAAUUAUAUGGCAGGUAACUGCCUCUCCUCUGGGAGGUGGCAACAAAGGGCUGGGAGUUCAAAGACAUGCCAGAGUCAUUUAUUCAGUUAUGAUAAUAACCAGGGUGUAAAUUACAACAGACUGUGAAACAGAAUUGCUAUUAGAUUUAACAACAGAUGGGUAAUUGUUCCCAAAUCCUGACAAUACUGAAAUGUGCACCUUAAUGAUUUCAACUCCAUGUGAAGUGACUGGGCUCCGGCUUGGAGCCUCCAGUGUAGAUUUAGAUAUAAGUGCAGAAACCAGGGACAUCCCUGAGCAAUAGCACCAGUGGGUAGGAACAUUGCCCCUUUGCCUUUCUGGUCCUGUCCUGUGGGGGACCCACAGCUCUUUUGGCCUUGUGAGAGCUGAGUCCCACCUACAGCAUCACAGGGAAGACAGUUUGAUCUAGAUGUAAAAAAGGGAUUGCUGAACCUAAAAGCAGGAAAGAAAUAGAAAAAGAGAGGAAGAAAAUGCUGUCCAGGAGGAGUAAUAACAGCAUGUGCCAGAGGGAACAAGUUCCCUGCCUGGCAACAUCCCUUCCUGUGGUCCAGGAUGAAAAAAAGGACUGCUCUGUGCUGAAAUGGAUGGAUGGCUGUAUAGGGUGAGGAGCUGCACCUGGAUGAGACAUAAAACCAAGGCCCUUAUUAUGGUGUCCACUCAUCAAAGCUCUUAUCAUUUUUACUUUCAAAGAACAGAACGUGACACCUUGUUUCCUGUUUUAAACCAGGUCAUUAACUAAUUUUUCCCUUUCAGUGUAAAUACUAUUUUCCUUUGUGGUGGCAUUCUUUGCUGUUGGGUGCCAUGACAGUGCUACACUGCUGUCUUCCCUGACAGAAGUCACAGUAAGGGAAAAUAAUUUUAGCCAAAACAUUUUUGUCAGUGAUAUUCUGAUUGAAAAUCCCUCUACACCUAUGUCUCAGCUGCAGAUUUGCCCUAAGACUUCCUGUAAUCUUUCUGGUGAAGCUCCACUACACACAAAUCAAAUCAAGAGAAGCUCUCAUCAGUGUGAAAUACAACAGAGAGCAUUUCCCAGGCUAUAUGUCCUGAUUAAGUGCAUUUUGUUCCCAAAUUUACAGCAUGAUUUAGAUUUUCAUGUGUUGUUCUGUUGCAAAAAAUAGUCCUUACUCAAGACCAGUCUGCAUUAUGCUUUCAAAACUAUCACAGUGCUGGAGGGAACCUGCAGUACCAAUACCAGAGAUAAUUCCAUCACAGAUCAUUCCCCUUUGUUGGAGAAAGCUUUUGUUUUGGCCACCUAUAGAGCCACUAUCCAGCUCUCUGUGUGAAUGUACAGGAAAGCACAUGUAUGUACUGAGUUGAGAACAACCAGUUUCACUUCACGGCAGAUGUUAGCAGCCUGGUGCUCCUAGCUGAAUACCUGAUACAUUAUUCCGUGUUUAUUAACCACCAAUUUAUAGGCCAGAUUUUUAGACAGUGUACAUCUGGACUUCUCUGCUGAGGUUGCUCCUUUGUAUUACGCAAGCUGCAGUCUGUAGCAUAUCUCACAUUACAUAACAUUUUCAUAUUUAUAACUAAAGUAUUUUAGAAGCAUUCUUUAAUAUUUUGACUGGAAAGCAGAGCACUGUCUUCUUUUGAAAUGCGUGUUAGAAUGACAGGGACAGAGGACAGAUAGUAAGCAAAGAUAUACAGCGGGGUUUUAUUUUCUUGCAUCCAUGCAUAACUGAUCCAAACAUUUUAGAGUAUAGAAUGUAACGUGCUGCUUAGCACUGACAAAAGCACCAGGUGUUACCUGAUGACAAGAAACUGGUUCAGAGUUGCAGAAACAAGACAUUUCAAGUGUCCUUAGGCUUUCCUCUGUGAAAUCAAACACUUCUCAUAGAAUACCGAGGUUACCAAACUCACAGAGCAUCUCAUUGAAGCAUAUGUUUUUGAACCAAAAGGCCACAGUGCUCAGUCUGAGGUCAGCAAUAGCUGUAACACCCAGCACACCCCAUACAAGAAUGAGCCAGUCACCUUAUAUGAGUCAGUCGUGAGAGACCUUGCUUGUCACUUUAGAUAAUUUUCACAAACAGACCAGUCAAGACCUGUGGAUCCAAUUGUUGGUAUCACUUAGUUGAGCAGAGUUUGCAAACCAGGACUUGAUGGGCCAGAUUGGCCAGCUCCUUAUGUCUCCCAUGUGCUGACGAGACUCCACCAACACUGCUGGUUGUACAUGGAGGUAUUUGGAGGGGCUGCCAGGCUCCCUGCAUCCCAUCAGAUUCCCACCAAAAGGCAUUCAAAGGGAAUUUUAAGCAUCAGGGUUAACCGUGCUCCAAGCAAAAGCAAAGGAAGAAAAAAUAACAUAGCUGUUAAUUGUUUUGAUUUUAAAAUGCAUCUCAUUAUAUGCAAAUUUAGUUGUGUUUCUUUUUUUUUUUUCCAGAGUAGUCAACUUUUGAAUAAAUCACACUGCUCCUGCCACUCACAGUGCUGUCAAGUUACUUGUCAAAAUCAACGUGGUCAGGUGGGUCCAUUUCCAGCCCCUGUGCAGGCUACAUUACCUGCCGCUUUUGGAUGUGCUGUUAGUUCAGACAGGCUGCAUGAGAAAAGGGGCAUGAGAGCAUUUCUGGGCUUUCCACCACGCUAGUGAUUUGUUAGUGUUCUAGCCAUGCCAGUGCAUGCUGAAGUCUUUUGUCCCUCCUUUGAAAGAAAUCUCAUCGUCAUCAGACAGCCUAUAAAUUCCAUUAAUCUGAAAUAAUAUUUAAUGAUCAGCUACAAAAUCCCUUUGGUUAACAAACCAAACAUUGUGCUGCUUUGCAGGAGAAUGUAAGUGGUGUGAACAGUCACCUCCACAGCUCCUGUUCCCACUUGCUCUCCAGCUUUGGCAAGGGCAGGGAUAUGAAUUCCUUCACGUUCCCAUUCGCAGGGUGAUAACAGCACUAAUGACGGUGGUGUUGACAAGGUGGGGUCAUUUAUCAGUCUCCUGCCUGACCUUACUGGGAGCUCAGCUGCAGAUGACGCACCAGGUGUCACAGGGUGCUGUCGUCUGCCCCAGGGGGCUGCCAGCUCCGGACCCCUGCAGCCUCUGUGACGCUCUCCAGAGAGGCAGAGCUCUUCACGUGCGUCAGGCACAACAUUACAUGUUGGUCAUGGGUCACACGAAUGUGACGCAUAGUGCUAAAAGCCCUGAAGCUGUGCCUCCAGUGUCAUCGCAGCCUUCUCAAGUUUCCCCUGGUCUUCUCUUUCCUGGGGUGGGAAGUCCUCCUCCCAUGAGCAGCAGCAGGAAACUGAGCCCCCUCCUGCUGCUGUGUACACGAUCCUGUGCCUUGCAGAACAAAGGGAUAUGCUCCAGAAACAGCCUGCAGGGAUGUAGUGUAAAUUAAAGCAAAAGAACAACAACAACAACAAAAUGUAGAUGGAGCUACUAGUACAAUCAGCAUUACUUUCUUCUUCUGUUCAAAAAAUCCUGCUUUUCAUCUGUUUAUCGUUUUGUCAGAUGUGUGGAGGGGGAAGUUUUCCAAGCCAGGUGUCUCUCUUUGGCUGAAUCUUUUAUUUAAUUAUUUUGCAGAGUUUCAGCAAAGUGCCUCAGCCGUUUCCUGGAAUGAAACUGGGGGCAGGGGAAGGAGAGGGAAAUGUUGUCAAGGCAACAGUAAUCCCAUUAUUUUCUAACUUCUGAGUGCCUGAGUAGGCAACCUUUAUCUUCUUUCUGUGCCGUUUUUGUACAUAAUAAUAACAGCCACAAUUAUUCUCAUCGGCUUUAAGAAAAGUGAAGCAGGAAUAGCGAAGGGACAGUAAGACAUGCUUUUGCAAACAAAACAAACUAGUGCCGUCGUACUGCUGAUUGCUGGAUAUCCUGCUGCUGUGUUGAAAAAAGGCAUUCAGGGCCCAACUGCUCUGCUUGCAAUGUCCCUCUAAAUUGCCCUCCAUCCGGACAAGAUCAAGAAGCUCAUUUCCUCAUCUUGAAGUGCAACUGACAGCCUCCACACGCUCUGGUAUUGAAAUCGUUGAGCAUAUGUUAGUGUGCAGCAAUCAUUUCCCUCCAGAUUUUACGGCUCAUUGUCAUUUUUCACACAAUAAAAUGUUUUAAUGAGGAGGAAGGCUCUGCUUUAUGUUUUGGGGAAGGUCCCUGGGGAGAGAAUUGUAAUUUCUGCAUGAUGGCGGAGACUUUCAAAUCAUAUUGCAUCAGUUAUGAUUUGCCAGACAAAAUGCGUUUGAAGCAUAAACUAAGCUUACAGCACAUUUGUAAAGCUCACAAAAUAAAAGAAAAACAUAGAAAAAGAAAAACCUACUGGCCUCCCAGCAGUCCUGCUGGCUUUACGUACUUUCCUU
rnacentral:lncRNA from 1 species